rnacentral:guide_RNA from 1 species
AUUAAAUCACAUAUACGAUAGGUAAUACUGCGCUGUAAAUGAUAUCAU